GAUGAACGCUAGCGGGAGGCUUAACACAUGCAAGUCGAGGGAUAGUUUCAGCAAUGGGACGAAAACCGGCGCACGGGUGAGUAACGCGUAUGCAACCUGCCCUUAACCGGGGGAUAGCCCGUCGAAAGGCGGAUUAAUACCCCAUAACAUCAUCGUCCUGCAUGGGAAGGUGAUUAAAGCUUUGGUGGUCAAGGAUGGGCAUGCGUGACAUUAGCUGGUUGGCAGGGUAACGGCCUACCAAGGCGACGAUGUCUAGGGGUUCUGAGAGGAAGGUCCCCCACACUGGUACUGAGACACGGACCAGACUCCUACGGGAGGCAG
rnacentral:rRNA from 1 species